rnacentral:rRNA from 2 species
GUGUGGGGAAUGGCUCGGCUCAGGCGCUGAUGAAGGUCGUGCCAAGCUGCGAUAUGCGUCGGGUAGGUGCAAGGAGCCUUUGAUCCGACGAUAGCCGAAUAGGACUUCCUACUUCGGUGAUGAGUAAUCAUCAGGAACCCCCUGAAUUGAAGCAUCUUAGUAAGGGGAGGAAAAGAAACAAAUAUGGAUGUGGUUAGUAAAGGCGAUCGAACACCACAAAGGGCAAACCGAAUUCCUCUUAGAAAUAAGGGGAAGAUGUGGAGUUGCAGGACCUGUUACCUUUUAACCAAUUAACCUGAAGUUCUCUGGAAAGAGGCGCCAUAGAUGGUGAUAGCCCAGUAGGGGUAAGUUGGAAAAAGGAUUGCAGGAAUCCUUGAGUAAUGUGCAUUGGAUAUUGCGCGUGAACUGGGAGGCAUUAACUUCCAACCCUAAAUACGUCCUGAGACCGAUAGUGCAGUAGUAACGUGAGUGAAAGUUGAAAAGUACCUUUGACGAGAGGUGCAAAGAGCCUGAAACCAUACAGCACCAAACUGAUACGGCAUGAAAGCGUAAGCAGUGUCGUAUCUUCCGUUUUGAAAAACGGGCCGGGGAGUUCUGAUCAAUGGCGAGGUUAAGAAGUUUAUCUUCGAAGCCGUAGGGAAACCAAUAGCCCGCAACCUUUUUGGUGAGGGGCAAGGUGUGCUCGCCUGAAGUCAUUGGUGGGAGACCCGAAGCCAGCCGAUCUAUGCGUGGGUAAGUUGAAGCCUGGGGAAACCUGGGUGGAGGACUGAACCGGUUCUGAUGUGCAAAUCGUUCGGAUAACCUGUGCAUAGGGGUGAAAGUCCAAUCUAGACUGGGAAUAGCUGGUUCCCCCCGAAACUACUCGCAGGUAGAUCUCAACUGAGGUAGGUAAUGGUGUAGAGCACUGAUUGGAUGUUUAGGGGGCGAAAGCCCUCGGCAUCUUGUCAAACUCCGAAUCUGUUGCCGCCGUAGAUGUUGGGAGUGAGGGCAUCCGGGGUAAGCUUGAUGUCCGGAAAGGGAAACAACCCAGCCUAAGGUUAAGGUCCCUAAGUACCGACUAAGUGUCACAGACAAAGGUUGUUCGUGAUCUAAAACAACUGGGAGGUGGGCUCAGAAGCAGCCAUCCUUUAAAGAGUGCGUAACAGCUCACCAGUCGAGAUUAUGGGCGCCGAAAAUGGACGGGGCUAAGUCGGUCACCGAUACCUUAGAGUGCCGAAAGGCAAUCUGGUAGGGGGGCGUCGUGCGUGGGUAGAAGCAAGGCUGUAAGGUCUUGUGGACCGCGUUCGAAUGAUGAUCCCGGUAAAAGUAGCAGCAAAGAUAGGUGAGAAUCCUAUCCGCCGAAGGGGCAAAGGUUCCUCGACGAUGUUCGUCAGUCGAGGGUUAGUCGAUCCUAAGACUGCUCUUAACCUAAGCAGCCGAAAGGGAAGCAGGUUAAUAUUCCUGCACCAUAAGGGUUUUGCUCAAUGUCUGACGCAUCAAGGUAGGUUUUGCAUGUUUGCCUGCAUGUCCAAGCACCUAAAUCUGGGGAGAAUCGCAAUGAUGAGAACCGGAUGAAUGUGUGAUGGGGAGGGUCGUAUGACUCUUUUAACUGAUCCUCGGUGCCAGUGAAAAGGAUAUUGAGGCCAACCUUGUGUUCGUACCAAGAACUGACACAGGUGCCCCUGGGUGAGAAGCCCAAGGCGUGUCGGCUUAAUUCAAAGUGAGGGAACUCGGCAAAUUAGUCCCGUACCUUCGGUAUAAGGGAUGCCAGAUGUGCAAACGUCUGGUCUCAGUAACAAGGGAGCUCCGACUGUUUAAUAAAAACAUAGGUGACCGCAAGACUGAAAAGUUGAGUAUGGUCGCUGAAUCCUGCCCAGUGACGGUAUCUGAAUCUCCCAUUCAAGGGAACGAAGGACCGUUAAACGGCGGGGGUAACUAUGACCCUCUUAAGGUAGCGUAAUACCUUGUCGCUUAAUUGGCGACUUGCAUGAAUGGUCCAACGAGAGCUCUACUGUCCCCACUUGAAGACCGGCGAAAUUGACUUACUGGUGAACAGUCCAGUAUCUUCCAGCAGGAAAAGAAGACCCCGUGGAGCUUUACUGCAGCCUGUUGUUGUGGUAUGAUUUUGAAUGUGUAGUGUAGGCGGGAGACGUUAUCAGGGAGACAUCGUCAGGUGUUUCCUGAGCCAACGAUGAAACACCGCCCUUUUGAGGUCGUAUCACUCACUGCUUCGGCAGGACACCAAUAGGUGGGCAGUUUGGGUGGGGCGCCACGCCCUCGAAAAAAUAACAAGGGCGCCCAAAGGUCGGCUCAGACAGGUCAGAAAUCUGUCGUAGAAUGUAAGGGUAAAAGCCGACUUGACGUGGUUUGUGCCAAUACCAAACCACGAUGUGAAAGCAGGGCCUAGCGAACCAAUCAAUCCUCCUUAAUGGGGGUGAUUGAUAACAGAAAAGUUACCCCGGGGAUAACUGAGUUGUCUCCAGCAAGAGCCCGCAUCGACCUGGAGGCUUGCUACUUCGCUGUCGUCUCUCCCUAUCCUGGUGGUGCAGCAGCUGCCAAGGGUGGGGUUGUUCGCCCAUUAAAAGGGAUCGUGAGAUGGGUUUAGACCGUCGUGAGACAGGUUUGUUUUUCUCUUCUGGAAGCGUUCGGUGUCUGAGGGAAAGAGUCCUUUAGUACGAGAGGAACAGGGACCCGCAGCCUCUAGUGCAUCAGUUGUCCGGUAGGGCACGCUGAGCAGCCACGCUGUAAUAGAUAAGGGCUGAAAGCAUCUAAGCCCGAAACUAGUCCUAAGACGAGGCA